GAGUUUGAUCCUGGCUCAGAGUGAACCCUGGCGGCGUGCUUAACACAUGCAAGUCGAACGGUAACAGAGGAGCUUGCUCCUGCUGACGAGUGGCGCACGGGUGAGUAAUGUAUAGCUAACCUGCCCCGAAGUGGGGGACAACAGUUGGAAACGACUGCUAAUACCCCAUAUCCCUCUAAAACAUAAGUUUGUGAGGAAAAGUUUUUCGCUUCGGGAUGGGGCUGUAUCCUAUCAGCUUGUUGGUGAGGUAACGGCUCACCAAGGCUAUGACGGGUAGCUGGUCUAAGAGGAUGAUCAGCCACACUGGAACUGAGACACGGUCCAGACUCCUACGGUAGGCAGCAGUGGGGAAUAUUGCACAAUGGGCGAAAGCCUGAUGCAGCAACGCCGCGUGGAGGAUGACGCAUUUCGGUGUGUAAACUCCUUUUAUCAGGGAAGAAAAAAAUGACGGUACCUGAUGAAUAAGCACCGGCUAACUCCGUGCCAGCAGCCGCGGUAAUACGGAGGGUGCAAGCGUUACUCGGAAUUACUGGGCGUAAAGGACGCGUAGGCUGGUUUGCAAGUCAGGGGUGAAAGCCUACAGCUUAACUGUAGAACUGCUCUUGAAACUGCUUACCUAUAGUAUGGGAGAGGUAGAUGGAAUUAGUGGUGUAGGGGUAAAAUCCGUAGAGAUCACUAGGAAUACCGAUUGCGAAGGCGAUCUACUGGAACAUUACUGACGCUGAGGCGUGAAAGCGUGGGGAGCAAACAGGAUUAGAUACCCUGGUAGUCCACGCCCUAAACGAUGUACACUAGUUGUUGCUAUGCUAGUCAUAGCAGUAAUGCAGUUAACACAUUAAGUGUACCGCCUGGGGAGUACGGUCGCAAGAUUAAAACUCAAAGGAAUAGACGGGGACCCGCACAAGCGGUGGAGCAUGUGGUUUAAUUCGAAGAUACGCGAAGAACCUUACCUAGGCUUGACAUCCUUGGAAUCUUUUAGAAAUAAGAGAGUACUAGUUUACUAGAACCAAGUGACAGGUGCUGCACGGCUGUCGUCAGCUCGUGUCGUGAGAUGUUGGGUUAAGUCCCGCAACGAGCGCAACCCUCGUCCUUAGUUACUAACAGUUCGGCUGAGGACUCUAAGGAGACUGCCCGGGCAACCGGGAGGAAGGUGAGGACGACGUCAAGUCAUCAUGGCCCUUAUGCCUAGGGCGACACACGUGCUACAAUGGAAGGGACAAAAAGACGCAAUACCGCGAGGUGGAGCAAAUCUUUAAACCCUUUCUCAGUUCGGAUUGGAGUCUGCAACCCGACUCCAUGAAGCUGGAAUCGCUAGUAAUCGUGAAUCAGCCAUGUCACGGUGAAUACGUUCCCGGGUCUUGUACUCACCGCCCGUCACACCAUGGGAGUUGAUUUCACCCGAAGCGGGGAAGCUAAACUAGCUACCCUCCACGGUGGGAUUAGCAACUGGGGUGAAGUCGUAAAGGGGGUAACCAAG
rnacentral:rRNA from 1 species